rnacentral:rRNA from 1 species
UACAAUGGCGUAAACAAAGGGAAGCGAGAGGGUGACCUUAAGCAAAACCCAAAAAAUAAACGUCCCAGUUCGGAUUGUAGUCUGCAACCCGACUACAUGAAGCUGGAAUCGCUAGUAAUCGCGGAUCAGAAUGCCGCGGUGAAUACGUUCCCGGGUCUUGUACACACCGCCCGUCACACCAUGGGAGUUGGGAAUGCCCGAAGCCGGUGACCUAACCGAGAGGGAGGAGCCGUCGAAGGCAGGUCUGAUGACUGGGGUGAAGUCGUAACAAGGUACC